rnacentral:miRNA from 1 species
AGUGAGGUAGCUGUAGCCUGUACCUUACUGACCAAAAGGGUUUCCGUUCAGUCAAUGAGGCACAACAACUUCAUCAACCAGAAGGAAUCCCUUCUGGUUGAUGAGGUCUUUGCACCUCAUUGACCAAAAGAGUUUCCUCUUGGUUGAGUAGGUACAGGCUACAGCCACCUCACU